rnacentral:rRNA from 1 species
CCUACGGGAGACAGCAGUGAGGAAUAUUGGUCAAUGGACGAGAGUCUGAACCAGCCAAGUAGCGUGAAGGAUGACUGCCCUAUGGGUUGUAAACUUCUUUUAUAAAGGAAUAAAACGAGGCACGUGUGCCUUUUUGCAUGUACUUUAUGAAUAAGGAUCGGCUAACCCCGUGCCAGCAGCCGCGGUAAUACGGAGGAUCCGAGCGUUAUCCGGAUUUAUUGGGUUUAAAGGGAGCGUAGAUGGGUUGUUAAGUCAGUUGUGAAAGUUUGCGGCUCAACCGUAAAAUUGCAAUUGAUACUGGCAGUCUUGAGUACAGUUGAGGUAGGCGGAAUUCGUGGUGUAGCGGUGAAAUGCUUAGAUAUCACGAAGAACCCCGAUUGCGAAGGCAGCUUACUAAACUGUGACUGACAUUGAUGCUCGAAAGUGUGGGGAUCAAACAGGAUUAGAUACCCUUGUAGUC